rnacentral:rRNA from 1 species
AUAAUACUCCAUAGAUUAGAGACACUGGAAUGUUCUUUAGUCGAAAGCUCUGGCGCCUUAGGAUGGAUCUGCGGUCGAUUAGGUUGUUGUUGGGGUAACGGCCCAACAAGCCUGUAAUCGAUACGGGUUGUGGGAGCAAGAGCCCGGAGAUGGAAUCUGAGACACGAUUCCAGGCCCUACGGGGCGCAGCAGGCGCGAAAACUUUACAAUGCAGGAAACUGUGAUAAGGGAACUCCGAGUGCCCGUAUACGCGGGCUGUCCAGGUGUUUAAAAAUCAUCUGAAGAAAGGGCCGGGCAAGACCGGUGCCAGCCGCCGCGGUAAUACCGGCGGCUCGAGUGGUGGCCACUAUUAUUGGGCUUAAAGCGUCCGUAGCUGGACCGAUAAGUCUCUUGGGAAAUCCGCCGGCUCAACCGGCGGGCGUCUAAGGGAUACUGUUAGUCUAGGGACCGGGAGAGGUGAGAGGUACUCCGGGGGUAGGAGUGAAAUCCUGUAAUCCCCGGGGGACCACCGAUGGCGAAGGCAUCUCACCAGAACGGCUCCGACAGUGAGGGACGAAAGCUGGGGGAGCGAACCGGAUUAGAUACCCGGGUAGUCCCAGCCGUAAACUAUGCGCGUUAGGUGU